CUUCACAGCUCUCUUGCUUUGCAGAGGCCUGCCCUCCAAGCCCAAGAUUUGGAGGUUGGAGGCUGUCCUCUGAGGAACUUCUGAGGCCAAGGGGGCCCAGCAGAGUGGUUCCCACAAAGAAGUGUGGUAAGAAGAAGGGCCCUUCUGCCAUCAAUGAAGUAGUGACCAGAGAAUCCACCAUCAAUAUUCCCAAGCACAUCCAUGAAGUGAGUUUCAAGAAGUGUGCCCCUUAGGCACAAAGAGAUCUGGAAAUUUGCCAUGAAGGAGAUGGGAACUCCAGAUGUGUGCAUUCACACCAGGCUCAACAAAACUAUCUGAGCCAGAGAAAUAAAGAAUAUUCCAUACCAUA